CCUUUAGUACUGUUGAUACGCACUGGUUGUAGGUGGUUGCACCUCCCUCCAGCGGCGAAUCCGGUAUUUCACCCUUGUCUUUUGCGCACUCAAGUUUCCUUGGCGGGCGAGCCCGCCAAAUGGACUAAUCAUAACCUUUUAAUUUUUAAUCAGCGUCUGAAAUUUUUAAUAAUUA
rnacentral:misc_RNA from 1 species